AUUUAUAGUUAGUAUAAAUUGCAGUGCGCUAUUAUGAAGUUUUCAACAUUUUUUGCAGCUCUCUUGCUAAUCAUCAUGGUUGCAAAUAAUUCAUUCAUCAAGGUGACUACUGCGCACCACUGUGAUUCAGCCGAUGAUUGUCAAGUAGUUUGUCAUGAUCAAAAACCACUUUGUAUUCUUCAUGUUUGUGCAUGUAUUGGUAAACGAGACGAAGAUUAUACACGUCUGGAGAAGGGCAAAUUAAAGAUGUAUUGAUAAGUGCAUAAACAAAAAAUAAAGAAUAUUUUAUUUAUGAUUCAAUGUAUUUCCUAUAUUAUUUGUUAGAAAGUUUGGAAAACAAGACGCAUUAUGAUAUAUGAAUAAUUAUUGCACCUU